CAUCGCGGUGGCCGUCUUGAGGUGGGGAGGAGCUGCUAUGAUGGUUGGUGUAAGCAGACCAGUUGUGACCUCUGUGUUGUUACAGAAAUCAAGGAUUGAUACAUUUUCAGCUGUUUUUUGUGCUCCUGUAAACACUACAGUGGAGUCAGGGUCACUACAAUGAAUUCAAAGUCCCAGGAAUAACAGUUCUUCCUUGGUCCUUUCUCUAAAGGAACUGAAGCUGCAGAGCUCAGCUGUUCUGUAAAAUACUGUGUUGUGAAAACUGACAAGCACAUCUUCAAGCUGUUUCUGUAUGUACAGAUGAAAAAGUACAGCUUGAGGCUUUUCCAAAAGAAUCCAGAAUCCUG